rnacentral:misc_RNA from 1 species
UUCUUUUGAUCUUCAUCAAUUAGCCACAGAGAGCCUAAAUGAAAGCCAGGAGUAGAAUGAGGCAUUUCCCUAUAAAAGGGGGUAUUUCUAUUUCCAGGGCCCCUCAAAUUGGGGCUUCCUCGCCAUGUUUUAGGAUGAGAAUACACACGUCUAACUCCGUGUCCUUGCAACUUUUGCUCCCUGAAAUUUCUAAGAUUUGACAGGAACUGCUUUCCCUGGGCAUUUGGUUCCCAAGAAGGAUAGCUGCUCUGAAAACUGUAGGCAAAAUAAUUAAGUAGCAUGAGCAAGCAAUAUUAAGAAAUAGUUUAGGAAAACUACUUGCUAGUAGAUUGCAGAAUUUUUGUUUUAAAUUUACAAUAUAGAAACACACAUACAGACAGAGAAAAUGAUCUAAAUAACUGCAGAACUAACUGCCAUAUGGUCAUUUACCAAACACGUAUCUAACUUUAGAAUAAUCAGAAGUCAUGAUAGAAAUUAUGAUUUCAGAACACAUCAAAUGGGGCAGGAAGCAGCACUAAAAUCUAUGUUAUAAUUAUGAACGUACAUGCACAAGAUCAGCAUGGAUCAAUAAGUCACUUUAUUUUCUAUUAGGCCCUGAUGGCCUCUCAUGCUAGUUGGAAACCACUUCAAAUUAAUUAAGGACAUAGGACCCAGAAAACCAGAACUUAAAAAACCAGAACUUCUCUUGUUUGGCACCCAUAAUUUUCUGGUUUUUGGUUGUUGUCGUCCAAUAAUGUUAACUCGUAUAUAUUAAAAACAAUUGAUAAAUCAAGUAUAGACUACUUUCACGGUUUUCAUUUGUUGUUGCAACCUGCUUUUCUCUUUAAGGCACCAAGUAACAAAAACAAACACGUUUUAAUAAUACAAGUUUUUAAAAUUAUUGGACAACCACCACCAAAAAAGGAUGUAUACCAAAUGGAUUAUGUGUUUGAAAUUUUAACCAAAACUUUCAAUGAUAUCAUCGACUAUAGAGUUUUUAUGUCAACUGUGACCAUCUCCUAUUUAACAAUUAAUCAAAAGCUAUUUAUUUGAAAUCAUAACACAUAUAUGUAUAUAUAACUCAAUGUGACAAAGUGAUGAAGCAUUGGAAGAGAAUUAGAAUUUGGAAUUUUAUUUAUUGUAGAAUUAGGAAAUCUAGAAUUUUAUUAGGUUUAGAAUUU